UGCAAGUCGACGAAUCCCAUCUGGGUAACUGGGUGGGGGAAGUGGCGAAAGGGGCAGUAAGGCGUGGGCAACCUACCCCGGGGAUCGGGAUAGCCGUCCUAACGGACGGAUAAUACCGGGCGAUCUGGCGAGGAGGCAUCUUCUGGCCAGGAAAUGAAUUUCGCCUCGGGAGGGGCUCACGUAGUAUUAGCUUGUUGGCGGGGUAACGGCCCACCAAGGCCAAGAUGCUUAGCGGGUGUGAGAGCACGACCCGCGCCACUGGCACUGAGACACUGGCCAGACUCCUACGGGAGGCUGCAGUCGAGGAUCUUCGGCAAUGGGCGCAAGCCUGACCGAGCGACGCCGCGUGUGCGAUGAAGGCCUUCGGGUUGUAAAGCACUGUCGAGGGGGAGAAAAGCCCGCAAGGGUCUGAUCUAUCCCUGGAGGAAGCACGGGCUAAGUUCGUGCCAGCAGCCGCGGUAAGACGAACCGUGCGAACGUUGUUCGGAUUCACUGGGCUUAAAGGGCGCGUAGGCGGACGGUCAAGUCGGGGGUGAAAUCUUUCAGCUUAACUGGAAACGUGCCUUCGAUACUGAUCGUCUCGAGGGAGGUAGGGGCAUGCGGAACUUCCGGUGGAGCGGUGAAAUGCGUAGAUAUCGGAAGGAACGCCGGUGGCGAAAGCGGCGUGCUGGACCUCUUCUGACGCUGAGGCGCGAAAGCCAGGGGAGCGAACGGGAUUAGAUACCCCGGUAGUCCUGGCCCUAAACGAUGGGUACUAGAUUGUGGACUUAACAUGGGUUCCCAAUCGAAGCUAAAGUGUUAAGUACCCCGCCUGGGGAGUAUGGUCGCAAGGCUGAACUCAAA
rnacentral:rRNA from 1 species